AGAAGCUUUGUCAGAGAUUUAAGGAUUAGUGAUUAGAAUUGAAUGAUGAAAGAUUUAGGGGUUUGAAUUUGGAAGGAGUUAGGGAUUUGAAAACUAGUUCGGGAUUUGUAGUUGCAGGAGUUAGGGAUUUGAAACCUAGACCGGCGAUGCGGUGAUGAAAGGGUUUUAACGUUUCAGAAGUGUUUUGCCUUUUAGAAGUGUGUUUUGCUUCUUUUGUCUGGAUGUUCAAUUUUUUUUUUGUUUGGGAUUCAAUUAUUUUGUUUGGGAGCAAAGGAUUCUAUUUUCACUGGGAGCUGAAGUGAAAUUUUUCCCGGUUUUAGACAAAAACACUGCGACGGUUGUCUAAACUGUCGCAUAAACC
rnacentral:lncRNA from 1 species